UCCAGACUCCUACGGGAGGCAGCAGUGGGGAAUAUUGGGCAAUGGGCGCAAGCCUGACCCAGCAACGCCGCGUGAAGGAAGAAGGAUUUCGGGUUGUAAACUUCUUUUAAGAGGGAAGAGGAGAAGACGGUACCUCUUGAAUAAGCCACGGCUAACUACGUGCCAGCAGCCGCGGUAAUACGUAGGUGGCAAGCGUUGUCCGGAUUUACUGGGUGUAAAGGGCGUGUAGCCGGGCCGGCAAGUCAGAUGUGAAAUCCCAGGGCUCAACCUUGGAACUGCAUUUGAAACUGUUUUCCUUGAGUACUGGAGAGGCAGACGGAAUUCCUAGUGUAGCGGUGAAAUGCGUAGAUAUUAGGAGGAACACCAGUGGCGAAGGCGGUCUGCUGGACAGCAACUGACGCUGAGGCGCGAAAGCGUGGGGAUCAAACAGGAUUAGAUACCCGAGUAU
rnacentral:rRNA from 1 species